rnacentral:rRNA from 1 species
UACGUAGGGGGCGAGCGUUGUCCGGAAUUACUGGGCGUAAAGGGCGCGCAGGCGGCCCGCUAAGUCCGCUGUGAAAGACCGGGGCUCAACCCCGGGGUGUCAGCGGAGACUGGUGGGCUAGGGUGUCGGAGAGGAGUGCGGAAUCCCUGGUGUAGCGGUGGAAUGCGUAGAGAUCAGGGGGAACACCGAUGGCGAAGGCAGCACUCUGGCCGGAGACCAACGCUGAGGCGCGAAAGCUGGGGGAGCGAACGGG